GUUUUUCUAUAGUAAAAGAAGCCUUUAAAGCGUUCACUUUGAGAUGAGCCUGCGGCGUAUUAGCUAGUUGGUGGGUAAAGGCCUACCAAGGCGACGAUGCGUAGCCGACCUGAGAGGGUGAUCGGCCACACUGGGACUGAGACACGGGCCCAGACUCCUACGGGAGACAGCAGUUAGGAAUAUUCGUCAAUGGGGGAACCCUGAACGAGCAAUGCCGCGUGAACGAAGAAGGUCCUCUGGAUUGUAAAGUUCUGUUGUUUAGGGACGAACGACCAGUAUAGGAAAUGAUACUGGAGUGACGGUACCUUUCAAGAAAGCUCCGGCUAACUACGUGCC
rnacentral:rRNA from 1 species